UCCUGGCUCAGGAUGAACGCUGGCGGCGUGCUAACACAUGCAAGUCGAACGGGGUUGCUGGUGAAGCUAAAGGGCUUGCCUGGAGGUGGAACCGGUAAACUAGUGGCGGACGGGUGAGUAACGCGUGGGUAACCUACCUCAUACAGGGGGAUAGCGGCUGGAAACGGCCGGUAAAACCGCAUAAAGCGGCAGCAGGGCAUCCUGCAACCGCCAAACAUUUAUGGGUAUGAGAUGGGCCCGCGUCUGAUUAGGCAGUUGGCGAGGCAAAGGCUCACCAAACCUACGAUCAGUAGCCGGCCUGAGAGGGUGAACGGCCACAUUGGGACUGAGACACGGCCCAAACUCCUACGGGAGGCAGCAGUGGGGAAUAUUGGACAAUGGGGGGAACCCUGAUCCAGCCGACGCCGCGUGAGUGAAGAAGUAUUUCGGUAUGUAAAGCUCUAUCAGCAGGGAAGAUGAUGACGGUACCUGACUAAGAAGCCCCGGCUAACUACGUGCCAGCAGCCGC
rnacentral:rRNA from 1 species